UGUCACUUUCCUGUCAGCCAUAGAAUCUGC
rnacentral:piRNA from 1 species